GGCCGCUGCGCCCCCAGCUAGCCGCCAGCCUGGAAAUGGCUCCGCUGAUGCUCCUCGUGAGAACGAAUCGAUCCUUCCCAGCCUUCUCUGCCUGCUCUCCACCUCCUCUCUGCUCCGAGUCUUAGGAGAACGAACAUUCAAAGGACAGAUUCCAAUGUGGUGUGCUGUGCACAUCGCGAGCGGCUGGGGUUUGCACUUCGAGAUUUCUUCUUUAUAAUUUUUUUUUUUUAAUGUAAGGGAGACAGUGGAAUUGCUACCCGUAGAAUUUUUAUUCAAGUGCACGUCGCGUUGGGUUGCACGCUCCACCCCCAGGGACCUGGUGUGGUGAAAUUUGAACCCACCGCCUUAGCCCAAAGGCCGAGUAACCUGGCUGCUUGAGUGUCGUGGAAGACGUGAGCGAAAUGAUCAGCGAACUCAUUUUUUAUCAGACUCACUGAAGCUGGCUUUUGCGUUUUUCUACACGUACACUAAUUUUAUGGAAUAGUUAAAGUGCUAUAUUCUCCGCGCAACCUUUUCAAAUUCCAAAUGUUUGAACGUUUUGGUGUCAGCGCGAGUGAAAUCAUUUUACCGACAAGAACUAACUGAAUUGUCUGCCUCGUUGAGUUGC
rnacentral:lncRNA from 1 species